GACCACAUGCAGAAGGAAGAUUGCAAUAUUCCACCUGGUAAAUCAACACAAUUGUGGAUUUUGAUUCUUCCACUGAAUGGCAGUGAUAUCUCUCCGCAGUAAUAGUGCGAGCCAGAGCCAAGCCAGCGGGCAGCAGGCAGGCAUAGAUGAAAAAUGGAGAAGCUAAAAUGCAGAGGAUCAACAUUGUGACCCUUUAUCCAUCCAUCAAGCCAGUCUGCAGAGGCCAAAAUAUAACCAAAGUUUCCUGAAUCCCAGACCAGCACUCUGGGUAACUCUGAGGUGGUCUUUUUCCUGAGGCUGUUUUGCAGUGAUACUUGCUUUCUCCUCUACCUUCGCUGGGAUGCUCUGAAAUUCUCUGGGGAACAGCUAUAGCCAAGCAAUUUGUGUUUGCCAGUAACACAACUGCUGGAUAUGGAGGAGGAGAGUCUGCAUCAGGACCAGCAAGUCAGAAAGAGCCAUGCACCCAACU